rnacentral:rRNA from 1 species
UAACGCGUUAAGUAGACCGCCUGGGGAGUACGGCCGCAAGGUUAAAACUCAAAUGAAUUGACGGGGGCCCGCACAAGCGGUGGAGCAUGUGGUUUAAUUCGAUGCAACGCGAAGAACCUUACCUGGUCUUGACAUCCACGGAAGWWUUCAGAGAUGRRWWUGUGCCUUCGGGAACCGUGAGACAGGUGCUGCAUGGCUGUCGUCAGCUCGUGUUGUGAAAUGUUGGGUUAAGUCCCGCAACGAGCGCAACCCUUAUCCUUUGUUGCCAGCGAUUAGGUCGGGAACUCAAAGGAGACUGCCAGUGAUAAACUGGAGGAAGGUGGGGAUGACGUCAAGUCAUCAUGGCCCUUACGACCAGGGCUACACACGUGCUACAAUGGCGCAUACAAAGAGAAGCGACCUCGCGAGAGCAAGCGGACCUCAUAAAGUGCGUCGUAGUCCGGAUUGGAGUCUGCAACUCGACUCCAUGAAGUCGGAAUCGCUAGUAAUCGUGGAUCAGAAUGCCACGGUGAAUACGUUCCCGGGCC